rnacentral:rRNA from 1 species
AUUGAACGCUGGUGGCAGGCUUAACACAUGCAAGUAGAGCGAGCGGCGGACGGGUGAGUAAUGUCUGGGAAACUGCCUGAUGGAGGGGGAUAACUACUGGAAACGGUAGCUAAUACCGCACACCAACAUAUGUGCCCAGAUGGGAUUAGCUAGGAGGUAGGGUAAUGGCUCACCAAGGCGACCAUCCCUAGCCGGUCUGAGAGGAUGACCAGCCACACUGGACUUGAGACACGGUCCAGACUCCUACGGGAGGCACCAGUAGGGAAUAUUGCACAAUGGGAGCAAGCCUGAUGCAGCCAUGCCGCGUGUGUGAAGAAGGCCUUCGGGUUGUAAAGCACUUUCAGCGAGGAGGCGUUACUCGCAGAAGAAGCACCGGCUAACUCCGUGCCAGCAGCCGCGGUAAUAC